rnacentral:rRNA from 1 species
ACGAGGUCUUCGGACCUAGUGGCGCACGGGUGAGUAACAUGUGGGAAUCUACCUGAAGGUUCGGAAUAACUGCGGGAAACUGUAGCUAAUACCGGAUGUGUCUGCAAAGAGAAAGAUUUAUCGCCUUCAGAUGAGCCCGCAUUAGAUUAGCUAGUUGGUGAGGUAAUUGCUCCACCAAGGCUACGAUCUAUAGCUGAUUUGAGAGGAUGAUCAGCCACACUGGGACUGAGACACGGCCCAGACUCCUACGGGAGGCAGCAGUAGGGAAUAUUGGACAAUGGGGGAAACCCUGAUCCAGCAAUGCCGCGUGAGUGAAGAAGGCCUUCGGGUUGUAAAACUCUUUCAUCAAUGACGAUAAUGACAUUAAUUGAAGAAGAAGCCCCGG